ensembl:lncRNA
CACCCCACCUGGCCUCUGUUAGUCAUUGUUGAAUGAGAGAGUUUUUUGAAUUAAGAAUUAUUUCCAAACCAAAGUGAAUCAUAUUCCCUCCUACAUAUUCACAGCAAACUGCUUUUCCCCAUCUUUUGGAGCCAUUAUGAUGAUUGUCUUUCCCAUUUCUCUCCUUGGAGUUUCGAGUAUUUUAAGGCUGUUUUUCUCUGAUGUACUGUGAGUUCCUUAAGGUCGAGUUCCUUGUCACAUGUCACUGUCCCUGGUACCUAACACUAGGCCUGGUAUGCAGUAAGGUAUCAGCAGAUAUUUUAAAAAUCUGAUUGCUGUGGCUUUCUCAUGUUCGCAUUGUUCCUUCCUCACUGGUGGUGGGGGAACUUCUAGACUGCCUUCUUUUUUAAUCACCAGGCUAGAAAUCCAGUUGUCCAAGGAAUUUGGGUUGGGGAAUAUGGUGCAAUGAGCUGAUUGGGUUUGAAAUAACUGGAUGUGACUUAACCUGAACUGUUCCCCAUUUUUCAGGGGAGAACUGGUUAUAAUACUUGGCCAAAGGGUUGGGUUAACUAAAUGAAAUGCCUGUAAGGAGCAGCUUUUCCUAUUCCAUUGCUGUUAAUACAACUAUAAUUGGAUAUUUUGUGGGUCCUGAGUAAAGCUCCAUUCUUUACUUGAACUCUGAAAUAUUUAUUGUGAUCACCUUCCAGAGGUCUGUCUUGCUUAGUUCCUGACUCUUAGGAUUCUUAAAAUCACCUGGAAGGAGAUUCCCCUGUGUAAACAUUGAUACUACUGUGACUAUAACAAGAAGAUGUAAGUAACAUGAAUGUUCUCUUCUUAUCUGCCAGAGGAUGUUUGCAGGCAAGUAGCCUGAAAGAAUGCAUUGAAUGUUUUGAAAGGAAUCACAAACUUUUCAUGGACAAUCCACAUUAUAUUUAAUAAUGCAGCGUCCAUGUAGUGUUUCCGAUCUUGUGCUGUCAUCUGCUGAAGUCAGUAUCUGAUUACAAAUAAAUGACCAAUGUAUUUGUCUACAAGAGAACUUGAGGAUGUCGUGCACUGUGAACAAAUGCAGUUGAAAUGUCCAGAGAAAGGCCUUAUUUGUUUUGAUCUUCCUUUUUUUAGUCUCUUGAGAGGGUUUAGGCACAGCCAGGCAAGUAGGAGACAGGUGUUUAGACUUAAAGAAGACUUUUUGAACUGUUAGGCAGAAACCAGUUUUUCUUCUGUAGCAUUUCCCCCCAGUCCCAUAAGGGAGGAGAGGAAAAUAAUAUUUAAAUGUAUAAGUAAGGAAAUUAGUUUAUUUUGUAUUAAAAUUAAUACUCAUAGCUUUUGUAUAUGUCUUAUAUUUAAAGAAUCAUCUUUUCAAAACUUAAUUGCGAAAGGGAAUACUGUGUCUUUCACCAAAUUCAUCUUAUUAGUAAAUACAAGUUUUAUCACUAUGUUCAUAUGUGUUAUUAAAUUAUGUCUGAACAGUAUAGCUGAACAGAGACCUCGUAGUGGUCUAAAAGUUUUCCAGGGCCAUUGGGCUUCCCACAGACCCUCUUAAGUCUGCUAGAUUUAUUUUUUCAGUUAGGGUUUUAAGUUUAGUUUUGCUAUUUAUUUACAAAUAGAAAACUUAAAAAACAGGUAAGUGACAGUUCCUCAAUUCUCCCUGUCUCCUUUUUUACUUCCAAGUCCUUAUGUAGUUUCUAAAUGUGUCAUUGCAAUCUUUAUUUAUUUUACUGUUCUGAACUAAGACUUUUGAGAUAAGUCCUACGUGAUGAGGAUACCUUGAAUCCUAGUGCGGGGUUGGGGAUAGGGGUUAAGAAUUACAGUGACAGGCUAUGAAAUAGUGUUGUCAUAACUUAUCAGUGGCUAGUAAAUAGGGUAGUUGCCUUCUGACACCAUUUUGAGUGAAGGCAGCUUAAUUGCAUUGCUUCUGUUUAGAUAAGCAUUUAGAAUCUACUGUCAAAGGUAUGAAUGCUGUGCUUAAAGUAUUUCUAUUAUAAAAGAUUUGAUUUCUUCAGUGAUUUUUCUAAGUUCCACUUUACAUCAAAAGUUAUUUGGACAGUGUCUUUCACUGUAUGUGUAUGUGGAGAAACACUGCUUACAAAUGUAUGUAAAUCUGGUGACUAAAAUAUUGAAAAUUUUGCAAAUACAUGAUUGAUAGUUGGUGAUUUAAACUCAUGUGUUACCUGUCGUUCCCCUUCCCCCGCCGGCCAAAGAAAAAGAAUCCUGUGAAAAAACAAUUAAAC